UUAAUGAAACCUAGAAAAACAUGAAACUGUUCGAAUCUUUAAAAAUAUAAAUGUAUUUUAACAACUUAUAAGGACAUGUCUCUAUUUAAUUUUAAUAACAAGUUGAAAAUUUUUCGUAAAUAUAUUUGUUUUUUAUCUGUUAUAUUUUGUUUUAUAAUUAUUUUUAUCAUACUUACAGGGACUUCCAAUGAAUUAGACAUUAUCAAAGUGGUAACCAUUUGAUAUCUACACGAAACUAACGAGAAAAAAACAUGCGUGACAAACGUUAUGAAGACGAUUAAAUUAUAUUACGUUAUUAUCUUAAUGUAUGAAUUUUAGUGUAUGUUCAUUCAGUAAAGAAUAUUAUGAAACAUAUGAAAGAAAUCCUUGCAGAUUACCAAAAUAGAAUAUAAAGAACAUUAAUUGAAACGGUACAUUUAAAAGCAAAGGACAUUGUAUUUGAAACUUAAUAACCUUAUGCAAACGCAAGGACCAAAAAGAAGUCAAUGAAUAUAUGUUUCAAUAGAUUUUCAUUUUAAGAUAUAUAUUAUUUUUAAAAGGAUAAAUGACUUUUUCUCUAUUUCUAUUGAUUUGCAUUUCUUAAGGAUACUUUCUAGGGAAAUCAUUUCAGGAAAGUAAGGUGACUUUGAUUUAGUUUUCUUGUGCAAUUAUUUGUAUUUGUUUGCCUUUGUUUUGUUUGUUUUGUUUUUGCAGAUGAUAUUAACUACGUGGCGAAUGAAAGGGACGACAUAAGAACAGCAACAAUCGAGAACGGAGUAGCUUGUGCAGUAUCUUGUCACAAUGGACUAAAAACACGAACACCAUACGAUAAAAGUAGUUUCGAGAAGGACAUGGCACAAGAUGUUCUGCAAUGAAUGGAAAGUGUAAAAGAUCAUGUUUAUCAACAGAAAUAGCUCUGACUGGACAUGGGUGCUGUCAUCAUAAAAAAUGUUGUAAAGAACCUAUAGCUACAUGUAGGCCAUCAUGCCGCGAUAUUUGUGGGACGAAUGGAUGUGGAUGUAUACAUUGUGAUUGUGAGUGUCAUGGCAAUUGUCUUGCGACCAAUAUUACUACUUGUUGUGAAGACUUCGUGACAGAGUGUACCUGAUUUUUAAAGCAUUUGCAAUAUGUAUUGUUUAUCAUGUUUAUUUGAGUAACUGUUACCAAAUUAAAAAAAGAAAUAAAAAUAGACAUGAAAAAAUGUAGGAAUAUAUCUCCUUUUCUAAAGCUCUAUUUUUAUAUCAAUGUUUUGGUUCUGUUUCGUUUAUAUGUAUUUCA